UACGAAGGGUGCAAGCGUUACACGGAAUUACUGGGCGUAAAGCGUGCGUAGGUGGUGAGUUAAGUCUGUCGUGAAAGCCCCGGGCUCAACCUGGGAAUGGCGAUGGAUACUGGCUCGCUAGAGUGCGGUAGAGGAGAGUGGAAUUCCCGGUGUAGCAGUGAAAUGCGUAGAGAUCGGGAGGAACAUCAGUUGCGAAGGCGGCUCUCUGGACCAGCACUGACACUGAGGCGCGAAAGCUAGGGGAGCAAACAGG
rnacentral:rRNA from 1 species